GCCUUCGUCGGUGGCGUAGUGGUUAGCACUCGCUUCCCGAAAGAGUGAGACGUGGGUUGGAUUCCCGCCUGAGGCU